AAGGACCCCAAAAACAUUUUGCCCUUUAUAAGGGAGGCCAGAAUCUUUUGAAAUACAUUCCUGCUUCUUCACCUAGCAACGCUUUGGACCUUAGCUUCGACAGACCCACCACACGAAGCAAGAUGAACCGCCUGUUUGGAAUGGACCUUCUUGUGCUGGCCGCAAUCGCAAUUGGUUUACUCCUCAUGGCUCCGAAUGAAGCUCUCGCUAGCCUCGGGGGAGGUGUCGGAGCAGGCGCUGCCAAGAAGUGAAUUUUUUGCCUCCUGCGACUAGCCACUCCAUCGUUGUCAUCGUCUAGAUGACGGGCUCGCCUGCAAUAAAAUGCCUCGUGAAAGGAUCGUGUGCAAACAUACUUCAUUCAUAUUAAAGUACUACUGGUUA